ensembl:snRNA U6 U6 spliceosomal RNA
GUGCUCACUUUAGCAGCACAUACACUAAAAAUAGAACAAUACAGAGAAAAUUACUAGUGCCCCUAUGCAAGAUUACACACAAAUUUGGAGAGCAUUUCAUAUUUAA